UACGUAGGGGGGCAAGCGUUGUCCGGAAUCAUUGGGCGUAAAGAGCGUGUAGGCGGCCCGGUAAGUCCGCUGUGAAAGUCCAGGGCUCAACCCUGGGAUGCCGGUGGAUACUGUCGGGCUCGAGUCCGGAAGAGGAGUGUGGAUUCCGUCGGUGUAGCGGUUGAAAUGCGCAGAUAUCAGGAGGAACACCAAUCGGCGAAGGCAGCACCUCUGGGACGUGACUGACGCUGAGACGCGAAAGCGUGGGGAG
rnacentral:rRNA from 1 species